UACGUAGGGGGCAAGCGUUGUCCGGAAUGAUUGGGCGUAAAGGGCGCGUAGGCGGCUUUAUAAGUCUGGAGUGAAAGUCCUCUUUUCAAGGGAGGAAUUGCUUUGGAAACUAUAGAGCUUGAGUGCAGGAGAGGUUAUCGGAAUUCCCGGUGUAGCGGUGAAAUGCGUAGAUAUCGGGAGGAACAUCGGUGGCGAAGGCGGGUAACUGGACUGCAACUGACGCUGAGGCGCGAAAGUGUGGGGAGCAAACAGG
rnacentral:rRNA from 1 species